UAUAAUACAAGUUCAUCCUUUGAUAUUAGCCAGCAAAUAUCAAACAAUCUGUCUUUUUAUACUCUACCAAUAUGAUAUACAAAUUCCUCUUUUCGUAUUAGCUAGUAAAUUUCAACAAGUGUCCAUAGUACAAAUGCCUACUUUGAUAUUAGCCAACAAACCUCGACAAGUUGUUGUGAAAGGAAAGUUUUGUCUGGCGUGUAAGUUUAAGCUGAAGUGCAUGCACCCUACGGAUUAGUGAAAUCAAAGGACAUCGAUGGUAUGAUAAAACGAAAGAAAAUGAAAGAUUAAGCAUAAUAGUCGCAAUUGUACAACUGUAACCAGGUUUUGUUAAUUGGACAGGCCCAAAGUCUACUUUAACGUCGUAAGUGGGCCAAUUGGCCCACUGCCUGUCUAGCUUUAUCUUCUUCUCUUAUCGGUUUCUUCCGCCACCUGGUCCCCAAGAACAUGCACCAUGCAUCCAUCAGCAAGCAAAAAACAGGCUUUUAUCAUUGGCAUCUUUAUUUCCGAUUUUGAUCCGUUUCCUCGUCUGUCAUGUCUAUUUCGUAGGUCCCACCUUCUACAGAACACCAAAAAAGAAAAUCCGAUUCAUGAACUAUGACAAAACCAUGGAGAAAUACAAUACAAUAGCAUGACCUAGAUUUCAACCACCGAACUUAUAUUUGUGGGGUGUUUCUUUUUAACUUAAUGUGUUUAAUGAGUUAUUCAUAUAAUCUUAACAACUAUACACGACUCUCUCUUUUCUUUUCUUUUUUUCUUUUUUUUUGCAUGAUAACUUAAUAGGUCAAGACAAAAAAAAAUGAAUUAAUGUAUUAAGAUACUAACUCUUUACCUAUUUGUGAAAUUUAUCUUUUUUGGAAAAAUUGUCAUUCAAUCUCACUAAGACGAUUAUAAGUGAGAAUAAUAAUAAUAAUAAUAAAGGAACAACCCCUUAAUCUUUUGUACUUAAAGCAAAAACUGAAUGACACAUAUUUGACAUUAUAAUAUGGUUCUUACAGCGGAAGACAUUGAAGCUGGGACACGUAAGAAGUUUCAGACAGAACCCACUUUGCCAAUAUAUCUAAAGGUAUCAAGAUUCAGACAAAAAAAAAAGAAAAAAAAAAAGUUCACAUUAAUGUAUGAAAAUGUAACCUUAAUUUGUGAAAUACAUGUUUAUAAAAACAGAUUAAUUUCUCUAGUAUCUAUUUGGACAGGCAAGGAUGGAGGUUUAUCUAUUAUGAGAUCAACGCAACUCAAAUCAUGUCAGGUUAAUUAGUCUUGUACAGAGUCUCAUAUCCUAUGGCAUUUAUGUACAAGACUACUUUUAUAAACCAAUAAAAAAUUAAUUUAACAAAACUGGUCUCAUAUCAACCAUCAGAACUUGCCUUGAUCAAUUAAUUACCUAUAUGAUAUAUGAUUCUAGUCAUAAGUUGCAUAAUAAAACUAAAGUGCAUGUUAAUUAAGACUGUUUUAUACUUAUAUAUGAUAUGCAGUUUACAGAAGUGACAUACAAGGUAGUAAUAAAAGGAUUAACCUCUACAGUCGAAAAGGAUAUUCUGAAUGGAAUAAGUGGAGCAGUAAAUCCAGGAGAAGUUUUGGCAUUAAUGGGACCUUCCGGAAGUGGGAAA
rnacentral:lncRNA from 1 species